rnacentral:rRNA from 1 species
UACGGAGGGGCUAGCGUUGUUCGGAAUUACUGGGGCGUAAAGCGCACGUAGGCGGCUUUGUAAGUUAGAGGUGAAAAGCCCGGGGCUCAACUCCGGAAUUGCCUUUAAGACUGCAUCGCUAGAAUUGUGGAGAGGUAAGUGGAAUUCCGAGUGUAGAGGUGAAAUUCGUAGAUAUUCGGAAGAACACCAGUGACGAAGGCGACUUACUGGACACAUAUUGACGCUGAGGUGCGAAAGCGUGGGGAGCAAACAGG